rnacentral:rRNA from 1 species
AGUGAAGCGGGAUGAGCUCAAAUUUAAAAUCUGGCUGGUUUACUAGUCCGAAUUGUAGUUUAAAGAAGCGUUUUCGGUGGCAGCCUGGGUAUAAAUCCUUUGGAAUAGGGUAUCAUAGAGGGUGAGAAUCCCGUCUUUGACUCAGUGCAUGCUACUAUGUGAUACGUUUUCAAAGAGUCGAGUUGUUUGGGAAUGCAGCUCAAAAUGGGUGGUAAAUUUCAUCUAAAGCUAAAUAUUGGCGAGAGACCGAUAGCGAACAAGUACCGUGAGGGAAAGAUGAAAAGAACUUUGAAAAGAGAGUUAAACAGUGCGUGAAAUUGUUGAAAGGGAAACGCUUGACACCAGUCAUGCGGGCGGAAAAUCAGUCUCUUGUAGUAGGGAGUGGUGGGAGUUUGGACCGCAAGGCCAGCUUUUGCUUCAUCUUUGCUAUAAGUGGUGCACUUUUUCGUUUGCAGGUCAACAUCAGUUUCUUCUGCUGGACAAAACUCCGAGAGAAGGUAGCAGCUUAGGCUGUGUUAUAGCUCUGGAGCGAUACAGUGGAGGGGACUGAGGCUUUCGCAGCGUGUGCUCUCGGGCAAGGCUGAUUGGGUGCUAUGAGAUCGUUCGGUGUACAAUGCAUGCAUUUUGCGCCGUGUCUUUUUUAUACUCGCUCAACUCGGCUCUUCCACGCUUAGGAUGUUGACUUAAUGGUUUUAAUCGACC